GUGGAGCAGAGUUGUGGUCUGAAGAGUGAUAAGCUGCGCUCAGUGAAAGGGAAGGAGCUGUUCAAGAGCAGCCAGAACCUGGUCUACCCCCUGCUCGGGUUUCCAAACCCAGCAGUCUCUCAGGCCUCUGAGCGUCUGAUCAAAGAACAUCAAACUAACUAUGGCCAAACCUCCAGGAUUCUGCAGCAGAGGCAGACGGUCGAGCUGAUCCCCAUCACUCAGGUGAACUACAAGUGGAAAGACAA